CCUACGGGUGGCAGCAGUGAGGAAUAUUGGUCAAUGGCCGGAACUCUGAACCAGCCAAGCCGCGUGCAGGACGAAGGUGCCAAGCAUUGUAAACUUCUUUUGUGCGGGGACAAAAUCAGGCUCGAGAGCCUGACCGAGGGUACUUGAAGAAAAAGCAUCGGCUAACUCCGUGCCAGCAGCCGCGGUAAUACGGAGGAUGCGAGCGUUAUCCGGAUUUAUUGGGUUUAAAGGGUGCGUAGGCCGGCCGUUAAGUGAGCGGGAAAAGCCCGGGGCUCAACCCCGGCACGCCGUUGAAACUGGGGGGCUUGAGAGGUCCAGAGGUAGGCGGAAUGCGCAGUGUAGCGGUGAAAUGCUUAGAUAUCGCGCAGAACUCCGAUUGCGAAGGCAGCAUACCGUCGG
rnacentral:rRNA from 1 species